rnacentral:rRNA from 1 species
CAGCAGCAGCCGCGGUAAUACGUAGGUGGCAAGCGUUGUCCGGAAUUGUUGGGCGUAAAGGGCUCGCAGGCGGUUUCUUAAGUCUGAUGUGAAAGCCCCCGGCUCAACCGGGGGGGGUCAUUGGGAACUGGGAAACUUGAGUGCAGAAGAGGAGAGUGGAAUUCCACGUGUAGCGGUGAAAUGCGUAGAGAUGUGGAGGAACACCAGUGGCGAAGGCGACUCUCUGGUCUGUAACUGACGCUGAGGAGCGAAAGCGUGGGGAGCGAACAGGAUUAGAUACCCCAGUAGUCCCUGUCUCUUAUCC